rnacentral:rRNA from 1 species
GAUGAACGCUGGCAGCAUGCUUAACACAUGCAAGUCAACUUGAACUUCGGUUUGGUUGCCGGUCGGGUGAGUACCGCGAAAAGAACUUUCCUCACAGCUAGGGACAACUUUUGGAAACGAAUGCUAAUACCAGAUAUUAUGAUUUUAGGGCAUCCUAGAAUUAUGAAAUCUAUAUGCGCUGUGAGAGAGCUUUGCGUCCCAUUAGCUAGUUGGAGAGGUAACGUCUCAGCAAGGCGAUGAUGGGUAGCCGCCCUGGGAGGGUGACCGGCCACAAGGGGACGGGGACACGGCCCUUACUCAUUCUGGAGGAAUGGGUGAGGAAUAGUGGACAAUGGACCAAGAGUGUGAUGAAGGAAUUCUGUGUGCAAGACGAAGUUUUUCGGAAUGAAAAGAGCUGUCAGUUGGGAAGAAAGAAAUGACGGUACCAACAGAAGAAGUGACGGCUAAAUACGUG